CUCACCAACCGAGUAAAAAGCUUUCUGUAUGAGAUAGUUAUAUAAUAAUUUUUUGAAUUUUGUAGGAUUAUUUUCCAUUGUAAUAUUUUGCGGUAGCCUGUUAUAUAAUUUUGGCCCCAUAUUCUGGGGAAGCGAGGCACUAAGCUGAAGUCGAUGGGGAACUUGCCUAUGUUGAGCGCUGGAUCUUGUAUUGUAAUUGUGGACGUCCGAACCAAUUUGGAUGGAACCGUAUUUGAAUUUGUAGUGCACAAGCAUUUCGUAAAUGUAUAGAGACGGGAGGGUCAAAAUUCUAUACGACUGAAAAAAUGUUUUACAUGACGCUCUCCUACGUACGCCGGCUAUUAUACGGACGGCUCUUUUUUGCAAAUAAAAUACUCGUAGAAACUCCCUACGUGACGCUGAGCCCCACAGUAUUAUACCAUACCGCAGCCUUGACUCGAUCAGGGAGGUGUAGAUUAGUCGUAAAAGAAAAUAAUUUUGAUAUUGAAAAUAUCUGCUUAGUAAAAACAAUUGUGAUGAUAAUUUUGAGCAUAGCAUGUCUAUGUGCUUUUCCCAAGUAAAUUUACUAUCAAAAACAUACUAAAUAGAUGAUUAAAUUUCUUAAUUUGAAAGUUGAAAAACAAUAUUGAGCGUAAAAAGUAAAAUUACUGUUAAUAUAAGUUCUCCAUAUUAUAUAAUUACUAGGUUAUUUUAACAAUGAAUUAUAAACAAUUCAUAACAUAAACUAUGAUGGUUGUAAAUUUGUAUACACAUUUGUGCCAAAAAGUUAUGAUUGGUUAAGAACAGUUUUUUUAAUUCAUAAAGUGAUGCAGUGAUUUAUUCAUUUACAAGAAUUUAAUUGAUAUGACUCGUUAAAAAGUCCAAAUCAUGUUCAGCACCUUAGUUUAAAAAAUAUUAUAUUGUAUUUUAAAUAUGUUGCACCAUUUUUGUUGUAUAUAGUUCAGUAUCAAUUUCACAUUUCUCCCAAAUUCUAUUUAGUUGUGUCAAUAAAAUGGCCUUCACUCACAACUGUGCCUUGUCAGUCCUAAAAUGAUUUUGUUAUUUCUUAUUGUAGACAAAGACAUAUUGUUAAACUUGUUUUCUGAUUUGUUCUAAAUGUGGUUUAUUGUAUCAAUUCAUAACAGAAAUGUACAUGGCUCUUUGUGUUAUAAACAAAAAAAAUUAAUAUACUGUAUUUAAUAUUGUAAAUUUAUGUAGGUUACUUUAUUUUGCUAAUUUUAUUGUUAAAUAUUAUUUUUAUUGUCAUGCCCAGUACUGGUGAAAUCAAUCACAUUUAGGAAAAUUUCAUACCAGAGAUUGCAGUUAGAGGUUAAUUUGUAAGUUGAUAUAAAAGUAGUAAUAGUGUGAACUGAUGUAACCCUUUCAUUGCCAAUCAACUACAUCCAGAAGGAUCUCACACCCUUGGUAGUGUAGGAUCUCACUCAGUAGAUUGGUGGUAAAAAGGUAAAAUAAUACCAAAUUUUUGAGAGAAGUAAUGUAAAUAUUUGUAUAGUAGUUAUUGUUAUUUUCACUUUAUUUGAAUCAAAUGUAUAGUGUAAAAUUACCAAAUUGUUAUUCGAUGGAAAGUUAUUAAUAAAUUUUGUUACUACCUAA
rnacentral:lncRNA from 1 species